AGAUUCUUAUUUGUUUGCUUUUAUGUUUCUACAACUGUCUCCUUUUUUUUGCGCACCAUUUUCAGGCAGGGAUAAUUUUGUUAGGGAUAACGGGCUCUGAGCAAAACUUUCUGUUCUGCAUUUGGCUUGUCUCCACAGGGAUUAGGUGGAGGUGAAUGAUGAAAAAAAGAUACAAAGUCUGCCUCUGAAAAGCCCCUUCUUGACCAUUUCAUCUCAGCCCUCACAGUUUUGCCACCUUCACAUCUGUGUGCAGCAGCCCAGCACAACAUGCAGAACGAUGUCAUUUAUAACAUACUGAUAUAACUGGAAGCAAAACAGGGUUUCCCUUCUGCUGAAUCAUCACCUCCUGUCAUGGAAAACUCCCUGAGCCAAAUUCUGACUUCUAAAGAGAAAGCUAGAUAUGGCUUGGGGGGAAGGAAGAAGGGUAGUCUGGUAAUUAUGUGACAGAAGGGAAAAAAUUAGCAAGUCUGGGUCCUUUUCAUCACCUAUUCACACCUGUUUAUGCAAAACAGAUAAAUAAUACUUAUCGUUGCUGCUAAUCUGUUCAAAUACUCUGGGAGUACAUCGCAACAUCUUAGUGAAGAGUCCUUUGUUUUUCAUAGGUAUCGAAGUUGAAGGUAGAAAGCAGAGCCCAAAUGUGCACAACAGCCUUGGUCAGCAGAGUUUCAGGUUUCAGAGAAUUCCCUCUCUUCAAGGGAAGCACCAUCUCGUAAGUACAGACCCGUUGAGCAGGACUCGGCCUCUUGAGGAGCUAUCCCUCGCUGGAAAGGGUGGUCGUUCAGGCAGGUCUGGCAGAGUGGAGGCUCAAGCUCUGAAUCUGCUGGAGCCCCCUGGUUAGGACUCAUUGUACUACAGCAGGAUGGACACUGGUUAUGAACCUAAUACACUGUGUUCACAGGACACUGUGUCAACCUUGUACGCUUUGCUCUUCCUUUUGCUUCUGUGACUGUUUCUU